rnacentral:rRNA from 1 species
GAUGAACGCUGGCGGCGUGCCUAAUACAUGCAAGUCGAGCGAACAGAUGAGAAGCUUGCUCCUCUGACGUUAGCGGCGGACGGGUGAGUAACACGUGGAUAACCUACCUAUAAGACUGGGAUAACUUCGGGAAACCGGAGCUAAUACCGGAUAAUAUAUUGAACCGCAUGGUUCAAUAGUGAAAGACGGUUUUGCUGUCACUUAUAGAUGGAUCCGCGCCGCAUUAGCUAGUUGGUAAGGUAACGGCUUACCAAGGCAACGAUGCGUAGCCGACCUGAGAGGGUGAUCGGCCACACUGGAACUGAGACACGGUCCAGACUCCUACGGGAGGCAGCAGUAGGGAAUCUUCCGCAAUGGGCGAAAGCUUGACGGAGCAACGCCGCGUGAGUGAUGAAGGUCUUCGGAUCGUAAAACUCUGUUAUUAGGGAAGAACAAAUGUGUAAGUAACUAUGCACGUCUUGACGGUACCUAAUCAGAAAGCCACGGCUAACUACGUG